GCUGGCGGCGUGCCUAACACAUGCAAGUCGAACGAGAAAGUGGAGCAAUCCAUGAGUAAAGUGGCGACCGGGUGAGUAACACGUGACUAACCUACCCUCGAGUGGGGAAUAACUCCGGGAAACCGGGGCUAAUACCGCAUAACAUCGCAAGAUCAAAGCAGCAAUGCGCUUGAGGAGGGGGUCGCGGCUGAUUAGCUAGUUGGCGGGGUAACGGCCCACCAAGGCGAAGAUCGGUAUCCGGCCUGAGAGGGCGCACGGACACACUGGAACUGAAACACGGUCCAGACUCCUACGGGAGGCAGCAGUGGGGAAUUUUGCGCAAUGGGGGAAACCCUGACGCAGCAACGCCGCGUGGAGGAUGAAGCCCUUUGGGGCGUAAACUCCUUUCGACUCGGACGAUAAUGACGGUACGAGUGGAAGAAGCACCGGCUAACUCUGUGCCAGCAGCCGCGGUAAUACAGAGGGUGCGAGCGUUGUUCGGAAUUAUUGGGCGUAAAGGGCGCGUANGCGGUGCGGUAAGUCACCUGUGAAAUCUCCUGGCUUAACUGGGAGCCUG
rnacentral:rRNA from 1 species